GACAUAUCUACUAAGUAUGUGUAUAUGUGUUUAUGUCUGUGUGUAUACAUAUGUAUGUACACACACACACACACACACACACACAUAUAUACAGAAAUAAAUAUAUACCAUGCUGUAUAUAUACCAUUGCCAGACGUCUGGUAGAAGUUGAGAAAAUUUCCGAGGCUGAGUUUAGGCUUAACAAAAAGAACACUGUGAUUAAUAGUGGUAUCUGAUUUGAAUCCUCAAGGGGAAAGUGGUGGCCCAAAUGUCUGACAUUUGCCAUCUUGAGAUAAUGUACUUACGGUUUCAUAAAACUUACAUAUUAAAUUAUAUGCGUCAUUUCAACUAAUGCAGGUAUGAUGGUAACGGAAUAGGUGUAACUCUUAAAAAACUGGGGAUUGAGGAUCACGAUGGAUCAUGGAAAAACAUAAAAGUUUCAGAUUCCACAUGUAAGUGAAAUCACAUGGCAUUUGUCUUGCUCUGUCUGACUUAUUUCACUUGGUUUAAUACCUUCCAGGUCCAUCCAUGUUGUCGCAAAUGUGAUAUCUGGAAGCCAUGUCAGAAAAAUACCAAAAAUAGAGGAAGAACAAGAAGAUUUACUUGAUUAAAAAAGUGGCUGAAAGACAAGUUCAGAGAGGGAUUCAGGAACAUGAGAUAAUUUGAAAAAUAUGAUCCAGAAAAAAUAGGCAAGUGCAAGCCAGGGAGGGGCAGAGAGAGAGGAACAGAGGAUCUGAAGCAUGGUCUUCAUUGAUAGCAGUGAGCCCAAUGUGGGGCUUGAACUCACAAACCACAAGACCAUGACAUGAGCCGAAGUCAGACACUCAACCGACUGAGCCACCCAGGUGCCCCUCUU